CUAUCUAUCGUGGGCGUUGGAGUUUUGAGUGGUGCCGUCACUAGUACGAGAGGACCGUGUUGGACAGACCUCCGGUUUACCAGUUGUGCCGCCAGGUGCACCGCUGGGUAUCUGAGUCUGGAUUGGAUAAGCGCUGAAAGCAUCUAAGUGCGAAGCCAGCCGCAAGAUGAGAACUCCUCAUAAGGGUCGUCAUAGACGAUGACGUUGAUAGGGUGUAGGUGUAAAGACGGUGACGUCAAAGCCGAGCACUACUAAUUGCCCGAAACUUUCUUC
rnacentral:rRNA from 1 species